CACGUAGGGUGCGAGCGUUGUCCGGAAUUAUUGGGCGUAAAGAGCUCGUAGGCGGUGUGUCGCGUCGGCCGUGAAAACCUGCAGCUUAACUGUGGGCUUGCGGUCGAUACGGGCAUCACUGGAGUUCGGCAGGGGAGACUGGAAUUCCUGGUGUAGCGGUGAAAUGCGCAGAUAUCAGGAAGAACACCGAUGGCGAAGGCAGCUCUCUGGGACGGUACUGACGCUGAGACGCGAAAGCGUGGGGAGCGAACAGG
rnacentral:rRNA from 1 species